GAAUGUUGGAACAGGAUGUUCCCAGCUCCAAAUUCCAGGUGAAUGUUGGAACAGGAUGUUCCCAGCUCCAAAUUCCAGGUGAAUGUUGGAACAGGAUUUCAGCCCAGCUCCAAAUUCCAGGCAGAUGUUGGAGCAGGAUUUCAGCCCAGCUCCAAAUUCCAGGAUGUUCCCAGCUCCAGAGGAACUUCCAGGCUCCCUGGUGAUGAUGUGAUGCCUUUCCUCUAGCUCUGCCUCAUCUUCCAGGAGCUGGGAGUGGGAUAUCCAGAGGAAUCUGCACUUUAGGAAUGGAUCAGACAGAACAGGGUUAAUUUUGGAACAUUCCCUCUCUUCCCCCUGUCACCAGGGGGGAUAUUCCUGAAUAUUUCAUCAUUCCUGGAAAUCCCUCUGAUCCACUGGAAAAAGAGGAAACACAACGCUGGAAAGUAUCCAAAGAAAAUUUAUUUCUUGUAAAUGAACUGUUCCUGUCCAGCCGUGGGAGGAAAUCAUGACUCUCUCCCAGUGAAUUGAUUUUCUAUCCUUGCAGCUGAGGGGUUUCCUUGGAUUCUUCCCCUUCUCCCUGCAGCCAACCAGGAAGGAAGAAAUAAGGUAGCGGCAGAAAAAUUCCUUUGGAUUGGUUCCAGCCAAACUCAGGGACAAACUGGAGAGGGAUUUCCAAUCCUAAAAUUAAAUGCAUAGCCAAAGAAAGCCUUAACACUUCCUUUAUGUCUCUUCCCUGCCCUUAAAUACCCUUCAUUUCCCAGGAAUGCCCAGGUGGAUCACGCUCUCAGUGCGCUGUGCCACAAUUCCAGAGGCUGUGCCAUGGGAAAUCAAAACUGAAAGUGGUUUUAGGAAUCUGCCCUUGGACACGGGCUGGAGCUGUGGGCUGUGCCUGCUGCAGGAAUCUCAGACAUCCUGGUUUUUUCCAUUCAUGGAGCUGCUUCCCUCCCUCUCCUUUCAAUACCAAAGGCGAUCCGGGAAUGCGUUCCCAUGGUGGGCAGGAAUUCCCUCAAGCCCUUGGAUCUGGAUGGAAGCACAAAGCCUGGAGUGGGCAUUGGGUCAGGCACCUCCAGUGCUCCCAUCCAGCCUCUCCUGCUUCCCGAGCAUCCCAAAUUCCUUGGGAGCAGGGAUGUGCCCAGUGCUGUGCCUGUCACGCAUCCCGGGAUCAGAGGCACAAACAGGGCAAGAACAGCAAGGAAAAACCGUGGAAUUUCAGCUGUUGGAUCCCUCCUGCUUCCCAAGCUUUUUGAGGAUGGGAAUGAACCCUUCACUUGCGUGGUGUCCGAUGAGAAUGUCCUUGGUGCUGUGGGGAUGGAUUCAUCCCAAUCCAGUCCUUCCCAGCUGAGACAUCCAGUUAAAGAAUCCACUGCUCUGUUAUUUUCUAUAUAAAAUAUAUUUAUUUAUACAUAAAAAUAAAUAGCUACCUUUUCCAGAGUGUAAGCAAACAAGUGGAUAAAACCUGGAUAAGAAAACAGGUGGAUAAAACCUGGAUAAGGAAACUCAAGUGGCUAAAAACUGCUGAUGGAUAAAGGAAAAACACACAAAGGAAAAUAUUCCCUGAAUUGUGUUAUUUGGUCCUUGGUGAGACUGCUCCAGCUUGGAUUCCCCGUGAGCCGCUGGGGAUCGGGAUCCAGAGCCGGGAUCGGUGCUGGAAGUGCUUCCAAAGGAUCCCUGAGCUGUGUGUGGGGUGGGAUGAUCCCAACACCUUUGGCUCUGGCCCAGUGGCUGGAAGAGAGCAGGAAAGGGAUGAGGAUGUGGGAAAUUGGGUCCCUCUCCGUCCAUUUUCUGGGAUUUGGGACAAAGCCGGCCCUGCCUGGUGCGCCUGUGCAGGGAAGAGGAGCACCAGUGGCAUUCCGAGGCUUUUCUUUGGAAAGCACAGAAGCUUUGGAAAACAUUCCUGGGGUUUGGCACUUACUUCCUCCUCCUCCAGCAGCAGACAGCCACGAUUCCAAUGGCCAGCAGCACCAGGAGUCCUGAGGGAUGGACACUCAGGCUUACCAACAGAAUAGGCCACGGACUGGAUGGAAACUGGAAAAGAGGAAAGAAAAGAAAUUUUGAGCCGGAGAGGAACCGAACGCGGCUGGCGCUCGCGUUUCUUCCCCCCCGUCCGGUUCCGGAGGCGUCGCGGAUUCCCGCUGAGCACUCACGGAUGCACUGGAGCGUGGGGUCGGUCCAGCGGGGCUCGGAGCCGUUCCAGAGGAUGCACUGGAUGAGGCUGGAGUGAGUGUCCCAGCCCAGACGUCCCAGCUGCCUCCAGCUGCUGAAUUCCAGCUGCAGUCACUGCCCCCGUCCUUCUCCACCCAUUUAAGCUGGAUAUGAAAAAUUCCAGCUGCUGUUGCUUGGAAUCUUCUCUUCCAAAAAAUGCCCAAGUUGUUCCAACAAGAUCCCAGCAGCGCCACACUCCAGGAUCACCAUCCAUGGAUGAGACCAAGCACAUCCCAAGAGGGAAAAGGGGAGGAAUCAGCUGGAGAUGCAGGAUUUAGGCUUUAAUUCCUCAGAAGUGAGUUGGAAUUUCCCAUGGAUGGAUCAUCCCAGGUGCUCAAAGACUCAUCCCAAAGGAGCUGCGGUGCCGGGAGCCGACCGUGCCAGGAAAACACCUCCAGCUGCCUGAUUUCCAUCUGGAUCCUGCUGGGAUAAAGUAUCCAGCUUGAAACGUGCCCGAUAUCCAUGGAUUUUGCAUUUCCAUGGAUUUUUUUACUUCACUUUUCCUGGUCUUUCUCCACCAGCGACCUCCAACGACGGCAGCUGGGGAGGAUGAGCUCAUCCCGACACGUUGGGAAGCAGAACAACAGCCAGGAUGUCAUCCCAUGUCCAAGUACAGCUUCCCAAGGGUGAACAACCACAGCUGGGAAAAUCCACACCCGGAAAAACUUGUCUGUUCUCCUUAAAAAAAAUUAUCAGGAAAAGGCCCAGAGACGUGGGAGUUUUUCUGCUCAAAAUUUAAAAGCCAUGAGCCAAAAAAAAAGAGGAGAAAAGAGGAAUUUCACAAGAAAAAUCGAUGAGAGAUGCCAAAAUCACGUACAUAAAUAAAACUUUCACAUUUUAACUCAAAAAUAUUUCCAGUUGAGCAGGAGAGGACAGGAUGCCCAGUGGGAACAUGGUGGGAUACAGCAGCACAUCCCAAAUUACCCAUCACAUGAACUAAAAGAAAUAAAUAUUAUUCAUUUUCUCUAACACCCCCUAAACCCACAGGUUUUGCCCCAAACAAGGAUCUGGUGGCAGCACUGCUGCCUGGAAUGUUGUCUGGAUGUCUGGGCUCAGUGGUCAGUGAGGAAUUUUGAGGUGUCUUAGGGGCUCUUCUGACUUUUAUUACCCAAGACUUUUUACAUUCCUGGCCAUUCCCGUCAUUCCGUUAUAAACAGGGAUAAAUUCAAUUCCCAGGACUUCGGGAGCACACGGGAGCUUGGAGAAGAGUGAGCACUGAAGCCGUGCCAAAGCCGUCGUGAUCCAGUGAUUCCAGGAUUUUGGAUUUUAGCAGCAGCAAGACAAUGAUGUGACCUUCCAGGCUCAGCAGCCACGGACAACUCCCGGUGCCAUGGAAAACCCACAGAGCACACCCAGGCCGAAAUCCCACAGUGAGGCAGCUGCCAUGGGAUCCUAAAAAUCAGCCCCAGCCUCCCUGGACACCGUGAGGAGGUGCUGGGGGAGUGCCAGGAGCGAGGGGAAUAAAAUCUCCCUCUGCCAUUCAAUGAAAGAGAAUUAACCUCAAUUAACCUCCCUGAAGCAGAAGAGAGGCAGCACCCGUGACCUGAGGCCCUGGAGAAGCUUCCAAACUGGAAUGGCAGCACUGGGAUUGUGGGGGUGGAGUUGGGAUGGAAGUGUGUGAUACCACAGGGUGGGAAACUCAGAAUUUCAGGGUUUAGAAUACAGGAAUAAAUAUAAAACAAAAUGGAGAUUUUAGGGCA